GCGGUGGCUUCCGCGGCGGUGGCGGCGCCGGUGGUGGUGGCGGCUACCGCGGUGGCGGUGGCGGCGCCGGUGGUGGCGGCGGCUACCGCG
rnacentral:tRNA from 1 species